GAAAGAUUAGUUAAUACCGCAUACGACCUGAGGGUGAAAGUGGGGGACCGCAAGGCCUCACGCAGCAGGAGCGGCCGAUGUCUGAUUAGCUAGUUGGUGGGGUAAAGGCCCACCAAGGCGACGAUCAGUAGCUGGUCUGAGAGGACGAUCAGCCACACUGGGACUGAGACACGGCCCAGACUCCUACGGGAGGCAGCAGUGGGGAAUUUUGGACAAUGGGGGCAACCCUGAUCCAGCAAUGCCGCGUGUGUGAAGAAGGCCUUCGGGUUGUAAAGCACUUUUGUCCGGAAAGAAAUCGCGCUGGUUAAUACCUGACGUGGAUGACGGUAC
rnacentral:rRNA from 1 species